UACAGAGGUCUCGAGCGUUAUGCGGAAUCACUGGGCUUAAAGCGUGUGUAGGCGGAUUGCUAAGUACCUUGUGAAAUCCCACGGCUUAACCGUGGAACUGCUUGGUAUACUGGCUGUCUUGAGCCACUUAGGGGCAACCGGAACAAACGGUGGAGCGGUGAAAUGCGUAGAUAUCGUUUGGAACGCCAAUGGUGAAAACAGGUUGCUGGGAGUGUGCUGACGCUGAGACACGAAAGCCAGGGGAGCAAACGGG
rnacentral:rRNA from 1 species